UAUGGUUAAGCUACUAAGAGCACACGGAGGAUGCCUAGGCGCUAGGAGCCGAUGAAGGACGUGGCGAACAACGAAACUGCCUCGGGGAGCUGUAAGCAAGCUUUGAUCCGGGGGUGUCCGAAUGGGGAAACCCAGCUGGGGUAAUUUCCAGUUACUCAUAACUGAAUACAUAGGUUAUGUAGAGGCAUACCAAGGGAACUGAAACAUCUAAGUACCUUGAGGAAGAGAAAACAAUAGUGAUUCCGUCAGUAGCGGCGAGCGAACGCGGAGAAGCCCAAACCAGAGAGCUUGCUCUUUGGGGUUGUGGGACAUCUCACAUGGAGUUACAAAGGAACCGGUUAAGCGAAGAGGUCUGGAAAGGCCCGCCAAAGAAGGUAAAAGCCCUGUACUUGAAAGUCUGUUCCCUCCGAGAUGUAUCCCGAGUAGUGCGGGGCACGUGAAACCCCGUAUGAAUCCGGCAGGACCAUCUGCCAAGGCUAAAUACUUCCUAGCGACCGAUAGUGAAGCAGUACCGUGAGGGAAAGGUGAAAAGCACCCCGGAAGGGGAGUGAAAUAGAACCUGAAACCGUGUGCUUACAAAAAGUCAGAGCCCGUUUUAGGGGUGAUGGCGUGCCUUUUGUAGAAUGAACCGGCGAGUUACGUUCCCGUGCAAGGUUAAGGUGAAGAGCCGGAGCCGCAGCGAAAGCGAGUCUGAAUAGGGCGACUUAGUACGUGGACGUAGACCCGAAACCGGGUGAUCUACCCCUGUCCAGGGUGAAGGUGCGGUAACACGCACUGGAGGCCCGAACCCACGCAUGUUGAAAAAUGCGGGGAUGAGGUGGGGGUAGCGGAGAAAUUCCAAUCGAACUCGGAGAUAGCUGGUUCUCCCCGAAAUAGCUUUAGGGCUAGCCUCGGAAAACAGAGUCGUGGAGGUAGAGCACUGAUUGGGUGCGGGGCCCGCAAGGGUUACCAAGCUCAGUCAAACUCCGAAUGCCAUAGACUUACUUCCGGGAGUCAGACAGUGAGUGCUAAGAUCCAUUGUCAAAAGGGAAACAGCCCAGACCAUCAGCUAAGGUCCCCAAGUGUGUGUUAAGUGGGAAAGGAUGUGGAGUUGCACAGACAACCAGGAUGUUGGCUUAGAAGCAGCCACCAUUGAAAGAGUGCGUAAUAGCUCACUGGUCGAGUGACUCUGCGCCGAAAAUGUAACGGGGCUAAACACACCACCGAAGCUAUGGCUUGAUGCUUUGCAUCAGGGGUAGGGGAGCGUUGUAUAAGGGUUGAAGGUGUACCGUAAGGAGCGCUGGACAUUAUACAAGUGAGAAUGCCGGUAUGAGUAACGAAAAGAUCAGUGAGAAUCUGAUCCGCCGAAAGCCUAAGGGUUCCUGAGGAAGGCUCGUCCGCUCAGGGUAAGUCGGGACCUAAGGCGAGGCCGAAAGGCGUAGUCGAAGGACAACAGGUCGAAAUUCCUGUACCACCGUAAGCCGUUAUGAGCAAUGGGGGGACGCAGCAGGGUAGUGACGCGGACUGAUGGAUGUCCGUCUAAGCAGUGAGGCUGAUGUGUAGGCAAAUCCGCACAUCGUUAAGGCUGGGCUGUGAUGGGGAGCGAAAAUUAUAGUAGCGAAGGUCAUGAUCUCACACUGCCAAGAAAAGCCUCUAGCCAGGUGAUGGUGCCCGUACCGCAAACCGACACAGGUAGGCGAGAAGAGAAUUCUAAGGCGCGCGGAAGAACUCUCGUUAAGGAACUCGGCAAAAUGACCCCGUAACUUCGGGAGAAGGGGUGCCCCGGUAGUGUGAAUAGCACGAGGGGGCCGCAGUGAAAAGGCCCAAGCGACUGUUUAGCAAAAACACAGGUCUGUGCGAAGCCGUAAGGCGA
rnacentral:rRNA from 1 species